rnacentral:rRNA from 1 species
AUUGAACGCUGGCGGCAUGCUUUACACAUGCAAGUCGAACGGUAACAGGGUGCUUGCACCGCUGACGAGUGGCGAACGGGUGAGUAAUGCGUCGGAACGUGCCGAGUAGUGGGGGAUAACGCAGCGAAAGUUGUGCUAAUACCGCAUACGUACUGAGGUAGAAAGUGGGGGACCUUCGGGCCUCACGCUAUUCGAGCGGCCGACGUCUGAUUAGCUAGUAGGUGAGGUAAAGGCUCACCUAGGCGACGAUCAGUAGCGGGUCUGAGAGGAUGAUCCGCACCACUGGGACUGAGACACGGCCCAGACGCCUACGGGAGGCAGCAGUGGGGAAUUUUGGACAAUGGGCGAAAGCCUGAUCCAGCCAUGCCGCGUGUCUGAAGAAGGCCUUCGGGUUGUAAAGGACUUUUGUCAGGGAGGAAAUCCCUAGCGUUAAUACCGCUGGGGGAUGACAGUACCUGAAGAAUAAGCACCGGCUAACUACGUGCCAGCCGCCGCCGUAACAC